GUAGAACUAAGUGUGGAGACAGAGAGAGAAGUCAGAAAGCUUUUGCCUUGGGCCAAGUGAGGCACACCGGCAAUUUAUACCAAGGCAGCUGUGGUGGAGCUGUUGAAGAACAGCUAUAUGCGGGAUAUUUUAACUGCACAGCCAGCAGGAUUUGCUGAGGGACUAAAUGUGGAUGUGAGAGCAAAAGAAGAACCGAGGUUUAAAGGUUUUUUGGGCUGAGCAACCAAGUACAUGGUGAUGCUGAGAUGGCAAAUGCUAGGGAAGGAGCAGGCUUUUGGAGCAGAAUCAAGAUCUCUGUUUUGUACUUGGAUUUUUGCUUGAAUGCCACUUUCCCCUGGAGGCCUAGAUUCCCCACACCAGCAUAUGAAGACAUAUCUGCUUACUGCCAGCUGCACCUGAAGGUUACUCUCAAAUAUAUAUUUUCAAAUCUCGUGAAGAUGUUACUGACUGGGAGUACAGCAACCAAAUGUUCAGAAUUGAUUUUAUUUCCAGAAUUGCAUUUAGGGUCCAAUUUUUUAAAAUGACUGAUAUUAUCGUUUUUGAGAAAACAAGAGUGUUCGUUGAUGCCAAGAAAUAAUCAGAGAGACAGAUUACUCUAGUGUGUCUUUUUACCAUAAAAGCAAAUUAUGAAACUGAACCAUCAACCAUACAAAAGCCUUCUCACCAACUGAGUAUAGAUCUCUGUUUUUCUGCUUCAUUACAAUAAAUUAUAGUUAGAAAGUUCAAAGACUUAUCUAUCAAGUUAUGUUUAAUUUACUACCUUGCCUUAGCUCAUGCUGGGGGAGAAGUGUUCAGCUAGAGAACUAAGGCAUUUGAAAGGUAAUUAGCUCUUUAAAAAUCUGUUAUCAGCUCUACUUUUUUCCUAGCAUCAGAUUAGGAAAGGGUCUAGAAAAAACAACCUUAUUCAUCCAACCUGAGUAUAAGCCUAUUUCAGGUAAAAGUAUUUAAAUAAAUGUUCCUGCCAUCCCACUUCAGUGCCCCCAUCUUUUAUCUGAAUAAGUUGUUAUUUCCUUUAAAUUUUUGGAUAAAUCUUAAAGUAGGCCACAAUAAAGUUUGUAUAGAUCUC